rnacentral:rRNA from 1 species
GACGAACGCUGGCGGCGUGCUUAACACAUGCAAGUCGAACGAAGCACUUUAUUAUGAUUUCUUCGGAAUGACGAUUUAGUGACUGAGUGGCGGACGGGUGAGUAACGCGUGGGUAACCUGCCUUAUACAGGGGGAUAACAGUUAGAAAUGACUGCUAAUACCGCAUAAGCGCACAGGAUUGCAUGAUCUAGUGUGAAAAACUCCGGUGGUAUAAGAUGGACCCGCGUCUGAUUAGCUGGUUGGUGAGGUAACGGCCCACCAAGGCGACGAUCAGUAGCCGACCUGAGAGGGUGACCGGCCACAUUGGGACUGAGACACGGCCCAGACUCCUACGGGAGGCAGCAGUGGGGAAUAUUGCACAAUGGAGGAGACGUCUGAUGCAGCGACGCCGCGUGAGUGAAGAAGUAGUUCGCUAUGUAAAGCUCUAUCAGCAGGGAAGAUAGUGACGGUACCUGACUAAGAAGCUCCGGCUAAA